AUGUUCCUUCCAUUUUUGCUGCUGCUGGCAGCUUCAUCCUAUGUGGACUGUGCAGUAGAACUCACUCAGGUCACCUCAGUGCUGUUAAAGCCAGGAGAUUCUUUAACCCUCAGCUGUAAAGUAUCCGGCUACUCUGUUACUGACAACAGCUACACCACGGCUUGGAUCCGACAACCUGCAGGAAACACUCUGGAAUGGAUAAACGACAUCUGGGGUGGUGGAGCAAUUGGUUCUAAAGAUUCUCUAAAAAACAAGUUCAGUAUUUCUAAAGACGGCUCCAGCAGCACGGUGACUCUGAGAGGACAGAAUCUGCAGACUGAAGACACAGCUGUGUAUUACUGCGCUCGCCACACACACUGAUGCUUCUGUUGAGGUGUCAAUACAAAAACACACGCAUGCUGUUGUCAAAAGUUUAUCUCACAUUUUCAUCAUCAGUGUUGAAGAACAAAGGAAACAUUGAGACAAAAACUG